CGGAGCAUCCUGCACGCUGGGUCAAGAGAGGAAAUGGUGAUGGAGAGGAAGCGAGCGUGGCUAUAAGCAGGCUAACCGCAGAGGGCCGAGUCUUGUUUGUUCUCUGCCCGCGAUGACUUUUAGAAACCCAACGUUUUAGCCUUAUUUUGGGAUUUGGUUUCUGGUCGGAAGCCUUCUCCAUUGGCUCAGCUGGAGACAGGGAGGGGCCCUUUAAGGAGGACUGGCCCUCCAUCAGACUCAGCAACGCUUUCAUUUCGUGGGAAUCAGAAGGUGGAGGCGGAAGCGUGGAGGGCAGAAGGGCCUGCCCAGUUGGGGUUCUUCCGCAGCCGUUAGCGGCCUUUACCUCACUGACAACAGUGCACAAUUGUGUAACGGCCCAGUUUCCCCUUUCUCUGCGGUUCCCAGAAGCUUUGAGCCAGCCCUGCUACCUGAGGGUGUCCGUGUCUGUACCCCGCUGGCCUGGCAACUGUCUCUGUGGCAGCCACUGAUGGAUGGUUCCAUUCUUGGAGAGCAGCCUGGUGCCCCAUCUUCCAGAUGUUCACUGCGCGGCUCUCCAUUGCUCAGAAGACAUGGUCGCCCUUGAGCUCCACCCUGAGGACGAUGGUGGUACUGCACUUGCUAAAAGGUGCUGGGAUCACUAACCUUUCUUCUCUACGGGGAGUUCCUCUGGGUCAGACCUCACCAGAGCAUGGCCCUUCUUAGUUCAUGUUUUAGAUACCAACCUUCUCUCACGUGUAUGAAGACCUUAAGAUCUUGGAUAUCCUUUGCCAUACAGACGUUUUUUCAGCUUUGAGAAGUCCCACUUUUUCUUCUUUGUGCUUGUACUACUGGUAUUCUGUUCAGAGUCUUUUCCUGUGCCAACGAGUUCAAGACUAUUCCUCGUUUUUCUCU